rnacentral:tRNA from 1 species
AUUCAUAUAGUUUAAAAAAAACAUUACAUUUUCACUGUAAAAUUAGGACCCCUUCUUUAUGAAUA